rnacentral:rRNA from 1 species
GUAGGUGGCAAGCGUUGUCCGGAAUUAUUGGGGCGUAAAGCGCGCGCAGGCGGUUCUUUAAGUCUGAUGUGAAAGCCCACGGGCUCAACCGUGGAGGGUCAUUGGAAACUGGAGAACUUGAGUACAGAAGAGGAAAGCGGAAUUCCACGUGUAGCGGUGAAAUGCGUAGAGAUGUGGAGGAACACCAGUGGCGAAGGCGGCUUUCUGGUCUGUAACUGACGCUGAGGCGCGAAAGCGUGGGGAGCAAACAGGAUUAGAUACCCUGGUAGUCCACGCCGUAAACGAUGAGUGCCAAGUGUUAGGGGGUUUCCGCCCCUUAGUGCUGCAGCUAACGCAUUAAGCACUCCGCCUGGGGAGUACGGCCGCAAAGGCUGA